GUAAACUCUGCAUGUGUACAUUGUGGUGGUCAGGAGGUGUGCCCUUGACUUUACUUACUGCCUAAGUCUUUGGCUAGUUCUGCAAGUAACCCUUAAAUCCAAAGGGAAUAAAGUAUAAAAAUCAGUCUUCUGAACACAUAGCACUUCAGCUGAUUAGCACAGAGAAAAAAAGAAUUAAUAAUGAGGAGAAAAAAAAGAUAGCCAGAAACUACAAACACCAGGGAGCCCGUUUCAGUGUUACUUGAAAAUAAAGCAACAAUAGCAAGACUAGUCAUCUCAUUAAAUAAUAAUUUGUUAUUUCCCUUUAAUGCUGCACGUGUUCUCUAACGGCUGUGACUUCUUAAGACAGUUGGACUAUAAUUUCCACAUAUUUAUCAAUAGGAAAGUUGUAUAACUUUUAAUGAGUCCUUGAACUGACCACCUGUGAACAAGAGGUAUUGUAAACCUUGUCUCUUGAAAUAUGAAAAAUAAUUUGAAUGUAAGUCUUCCUUUAUGUGGCUGAUCUGAAGUGAGUCUUGAAAUUACCGGCAGACAGCUCAGCCAAUGCUUCCUACAAAACUAAAACAUGUCUACCACUUAUGUCCAAUGGCACGAAGAUGUUCUUAUUUUCACAUUUGGAAAACUGCAGGUAAUUAAAGAAGUGAAAAUGUCUCUGUUUAUUGAAGAUUGAUUCUUUCAGUAUAAAGGCAAGCUGUUGUAUUUCCUUGUGAUCAGAGUCCAGCCACCAGGAGAACUUAACAGCUAUUGGAAAGUUCUCACGGUCCUUCAUGUCUACAUGAUUUGUAACUUGGAUGUCUUGUGACAAGAGAUAUGGAUUAUCUUCCAACUCUGAACGUGCUGCAGGAUCAAAAGGUAUGCACUGGAACUCCAGUACUCACUUUAAGAAGAAUAUAAAUGUGUUGGAUUCAUCUCCCAGUAUGAAGGGCUCUGCAAGAGAGAAUGGUGAAGAAGCCAGAAAGAAUUAGAAAGCACAACUGUGAACAGUUUUAACAGAAAUACUGCUAUAAUAAGCAAGGCAAAUCAUCCCUUCAUUCAGAUGGCAAUUACAACCCAGGUAACACAACGCUUCCCUGCUUUCAGCAGCACUACAUAGAUAACCUCUCUAUGAUGAAUAUAUUUUGAGCAAUUUUUCCCAUGUGCUGGCCUGAAGCAGGCUUUUCUUUGAUGCUAGACAUAAAUAUCCUACUGUAACUCUUGUCUUGCUCUUGCAUAAAUAAACUAUCUACCGG
rnacentral:lncRNA from 1 species